GACUUCGGUCAGGGUGUAAGCAAGGACAGAGCUGAUUAACACAGAACCUAGAAGUCCAAACUGCUCAGUGGAGGAUGUGACUCAAAAUGGGAACUCAGCAUGGCCUGCAGAAAAGGCUCUGUUCUGAGCUCUGAGGCUGAUGAAUGUGGACAGCAACUGCACAGUCCAGGUCACUGUCAACUGCAACCUCUGAAGAUCAACAACUAUCUUCCUCUCCACUUCAUAAUCUCUUAGCCUCAACCCAAAGCAGAAACAGAAAAAACUGAAGAAUGAAGUGCGAAAAUAAGAUGAGAGCGUCACAGGGAACAGGAGCCGGGGUCGCCAGGCGGAGUCCGACCCCAGUGUGGGGAACCUGGCGCUCCGGAGGGAGAGGGAGCCAGGGCCGGUGGAAGGCGGGCGGAGCUCGGCAGCGCCCCAGACGGGAAACCAGAGACAGCAGGACAUUGUGUUCUUCUCCUCAAAAACAACCAGCGAGGCGCUCCCAAAGUAAACAGUUAAUCCUGUUGUUUAUCGUUUUAACAUGCGCUCCUUAGGAUUGAACCCAGGACCUCUGUAUGCUAGUCAAGUGUUCUACCACCAAGCUACACUUCCAGCCUAAAAUUAACUUUUAAAAACAGUUUUCAUUGUUUUUGCUUCUCAUAGCUAUAGGUUACCUAUCUCACAGUGUUUUUAUACAAUAAAGAAGAUAAUUUCUGCCUGGGAAUAAUGACUGGCUUUCCAUCCUGACCUCUGCUUUACUGAAGGCUCAUUUUUUUUGAUCUGUCAAGCUCCAAGUCUCACAGGCAUCUCUAUCUCAAUGAGACCCUCACUAGAACUCCGGUUCCCACCACUGGACCUCCUCUAUCCCCUCCCACAACUCCACAGUCAGCCCUUAGCCCAUCUUCCUGUUAUCUCAUAUCUAAUCACCAGCAAGUUCUAUGAAUUCAGAAUUUCUCUACUUCCCAUCACUUCCCUAUUAGCACAUUAGUGCAGGUCACCAGUCUGGUGGGUCUAGAUUCCUGAAAUAGCCUGAGUUGUUUCCUGGUCACACUCUUGUACUUCCACAUUCCAUUUUGAUCUACAGCAACAGGAGCAAUGUUCUGAAAGCAGAGAUCAGAUGACAUCUAUUAUAUGCUCUCACUGAAGACUGGAAGGCUUCCCAUUGUCCUCAGAAUGAAGUCUAAACCCCUACUGACCUACCUCCUCCUGUCCUAACUGUCAGGCUCACUAACCCCAAGUGAAUGAGCCUUAACUCCUUGAACAUACCAAGCCCAUCUGUGUCUUUGCAAUUGUUAAGCAAAUCUUUGCCCUAGAAAGUGUAUUUUCCAGAACUUCUCUAGGCUGGCUCCACCUUGUCAUUCAAGUCCCACUUCAAAGGUCGUCUUUCUAGAUUUCCUGAUUGCUCAUUCCGAUGUGACCUUGACAUUUCUGGCAAGGUUAUUGCAUACGUGGCACAGCAUUAUUUCUCCUAAUAGCAAAUGUUCUUUGAGCAUUUAUCAUGUGCCAGAUUCUCUUUUAAAUGCCUUGUGGGAAUUAUUUCAUUAAGGUAUCAGUUACAUACAGGAAUACCAUCAUAACCUCCAUUUUUAUAGAUGAAAAAGGUAAAAGCAUAAAGGAGUUAGGUAAUUUGUUCAAAGUCACAUAGAUAUAAGCCAAUGAAAAUUAUCUGGCUUAUUACCAUAUCUCAGCCCCACUGGAAUGAACUUUUUUUUUUUUGCAGGGAGGAGGAUCUUUUUGAGAUAGGACUUCACUAUCCAGUUUGAGCUGAGAUUGAAUUCAAUUUGUAGCCCAAGCUGGCCUUGAACUCAUAGUGAUCCUUCUGCCUCGGCCUCCCAAGUUCUGGGGUUAUAAGCAUGCACUACCAUGAUCAGCUGGAAUAAACAUGUUGACAGAGU